UGGGGAAUUUUGGACAAUGGGGGAAACCCUGAUCCAGCCAUCCCGCGUGUGCGAUGAAGGCCUUCGGGUUGUAAAGCACUUUUGGCAGGAAAGAAACGUCAUGGGUUAAUACCCCGUGAAACUGACGGUACCUGCAGAAUAAGCACCGGCUAACUACGUGCCAGCAGCCGCGGUAAUACGUAGGGUGCAAGCGUUAAUCGGAAUUACUGGGCGUAAAGCGUGCGCAGGCGGUUCGGAAAGAAAGAUGUGAAAUCCCAGAGCUCAACUUUGGAACUGCAUUUUUAACUACCGGGCUAGAGUGUGUCAGAGGUAGGUGGAAUUCCGCGUGUAGCAGUGAAAUGCGUAGAUAUGCGGAGGAACACCGAUGGCGAAGGCAGCCUCCUGGGAUAACACUGACGCUCAUGCACGAAAGCUUGGGGAGCAAACAGG
rnacentral:rRNA from 1 species